UGGGGAUGUUUGUCCGUAAAGGUGGAUGAGUGGUGUUUGGUUUGUUACGUGUGGUUGGCUGCGGCGUUUGCAACAACUUCCAUGCUUUCAGACCUCUUCAGUUGUGCGGCAAGGCUUGUAUCGCCUUGAGCGUAUUGUGGGUUUUCUGUGUUGACUACCUAAUCAAUGGUAUCGGUUGGAUUGAUCAAUGUUUCAUUUCGUCUAUCGUCGCAUUCGCGGCGUGAGAUGAACCUUGAUGCGGUCUCUUUGAUCCACCUCGUCGAAGCACAUGCUUUGACGUUGUGGCACAUUGAGCAUUGCUUGGUCUCUUGUAUACGGAACAUGUAGUGGGCAUGGAUCUAACGAUUCUUGUUUGCCCUCAWAUUAGCGUAACGCUUCUCUUACACGACUUGCUCUACGUUUUAGCUCGUACGGACGUGGUGCUAUGUCGAAGAGGAAUGCUACCUGGUUGAUCCUGCCAGUAGUCAUAUGCUUGUCUCAAAGAUUAAGCCAUGCAGGUGUAAGU
rnacentral:misc_RNA from 1 species